CCUACCAUGCAGUCGAGCGAUGAAGCUCCUUCGGGAGUGGAUUAGCGGCGGACGGGUGAGUAACACGUGGGUAACCUGCCUCAUAGAGAGGGAUAGCCUUCCGAAAGGAAGAUUAAUACCUCAUAAGAUUGUAGUUUCGCAUGAGACGGCAAUAAAAGGAGCAAUCCGCUAUGAGAUGGACCCGCGUCGCAUUAGCUAGUUGGUAAGGUAAUGGCUUACCAAGGCGACGAUGCGUAGCCGACCUGAGAGGGUGAUCGGCCACAUUGGGACUGAGACACGGCCCAGACUCCUACGGGAGGCAGCAGUGGGGAAUAUUGCACAAUGGGGGAAACCCUGAUGCAGCAACGCCGCGUGAGUGAUGACGGUCUUCGGAUUGUAAAACUCUGUCUUUGGGGACGAUAAUGACGGUACCCAAGGAGGAAGCCACGGCUAACUACGUGCCAGCAGCCGCGGUAAUACGUAGGUGGCAAGCGUUGUCCGGAUUUACUGGGCGUAAAGGGAGCGUAGGUGGAUAUUUAAGUGGGAUGUGAAAUACUCGGGCUUAACCUGAGUGCUGCAUUCCAAACUGGAUAUCUAGAGUGCAGGAGAGGAAAGUGGAAUUCCUAGUGUAGCGGUGAAAUGCGUANAUAUUAGGAAGAACACCGGUGGCGAAGGCGACUUUCUGGACUGUAACUGACACUGAGGCUCGAAAGCNUGGGGAGCGAACAGGAUUANAUACCCUGGUAGUCCACGCCGUAAGCGAUGAAUACUANGUGUAGGGGUUGUCAUGACCUCUGUGCCNCCNCUAACNCAUUAANUAUUCCNCCUGGGGAGUACGGUCNCAANAUUAAAACUCAAAGGANUUGACGGGGGCCCCC
rnacentral:rRNA from 1 species